rnacentral:rRNA from 1 species
UACCAGCUCUCCGAGUGGUGUGGAUGUUUAUUGGGCCUAAAGCAUCCGUAGCUGGCUGGACAAGCCCCCUGUUAAAUCCACCGAUUUAAUCGUUGGUGUGCGGGGGAUACUGUUCGGCUAGGGGACGGGAGAGGCAGACGGUAUUUUCGGGGUAGGGGUGAAAUCCUAUAAUCCCGGGAAGACCACCAGUGGCGAAGGCUGUCUGCUAGAACGCGCCCGACGGUGAGGGAUGAAAGCUGGGGGAGCGAACCGGAUUAGAUACCCGGGUAGUCCCAGCUGUAAACGAUGCAGGCUAGGUGUUUGGACGGCCACGUGCCGUUCUAGUGCCGCAGGGAAGCCGUUAAGCCUGCCGCCUGGGGAGUACGGCCGCAAGGCUGAAACUUAAAGGAAUUGGCGGGGGAGCACCACAAGGGGUGAAGCUUGCGGUUU